GUGCAGUUAAGAACAUUCCAUGCAUUGGUGGUUACAACAUUACAGCAUUUAAUCAUUGUUUGUCACAUUGUGUCUACCCUACCAUAUGUAUAUAAGGCACUCAUGGCCUUCUGUUAUAGUUCUCACAUGCUGUGAAGUUUUCUCAUAACUACAACUAACAAACUCAACAAUAGGGAUGGGGGGGAGGAACGGGUGGGAAAGUGAGCCAUGCCGUGCCAUGGGGGGGUCUAUUAUUUCUUCUUUGUUGGACGCUUUCCCCUAGUUUAUUGCCAGAGUAAAU